GAAAUGCCCAAAGACAGAUUCAGUUGUGACACAUAAAAGGCUUUUUAUCUGCUGGAUGUUUUGAAAGGCAUCUGAUAACCAGUGUCCCAUAAAGACGUCUUCAGCUUUGUAUGGCUUGAUCCAUUCUGCGUUUGGAGUCCUCUGUAGCCUGCAGUGUGCUGCUGAGAUGAUCUUGACAGGAACCACUUCCUCUUGCUUGCCCGGUGUGCAGGCAUUGAGAAGCACUUCAGCUACUUUUUAACAUCACAACAUGCUGGUGCCGGUGGCUCACUGGUCUGACUAUUGAUCCAAGUCACCACAUCAAGGUCCCAUCCCCUCUGCAUGACUGGCCCUCUCUGACAAGUGGAAAUCACAGAGAUCCUGCUGGCAAAAGAUGGAGAGUGAAGAAGACUUCAGAAACGUGUACCCUACAGCUAUCACUGUCCUGAACUCAAGAAUGAAGACACCAAGCACAUCUUCUCUGCUAUACACUAUAAAAACUAGUGAGAACGUGUUCACAAAAAAUGUAAGGGGGGUUUAAGAAAAAAAAAAAAGGGCUGUGCGGUGAUUUUUUGACUUUCUAAGAUAAAUAAGUGAUAAAAAAGGAGGGAAGAGAGGGUGCAUUACUUUGCCAAAAGGGACCUUGGGUUUUGCCCUGUGGGCAUGGCAACUUUCAUUUUCCUCUUUCACCGUUCAUAUUCCCAGCUGGUUUCCGGAGUUAUGAUUGAGUUUCACAUAUUGGAGUUAUAUCUAGCAGCCAGACUUGUUUAUCUGCUGGGGCUGAUAACUGUACGGGCCUGAGUAGGAAACAGAAAGCGAAGGGAGGGAGAAGGAGAGUGGGAGGGAGAUACAGACAGACAGACAGGCCACUCAUAUAUUCUCAUCUCCUCCAGUCUUUUCUCAUUGAUUUAGCAUGUCUUCAUCAACAGUCUGACCCAGGUACAGCUUUCUGUCUUUAUCUCACACUGCAGCUCAGACCUCUGGUAUGGACUCGAUGGGAGCAACUGCAGAGCAUGUCAGUCAAAGCAACAAAAAAAUGGAUUAGACAAGGCCAAAGGAGUGAUUCAUGGGGACAUAAGGACGCCAGAUUAAAAGGUUUUUAUGCAUUUAUAAUCAAAAAGUUGCGUUUCAGAUGUCUUUUGUUUCCCAGAUUAAAAAGUUAGACUCCAUAAUUUACUGCCUAACUCUGAUAGCCAUCUUUCUUCAAUAAGAGACACACAUUUCGUAAAAUCCAGACAAUUAUGUUUAGAUGCUCUACCAUGCCCCCUGAAUUCAUUCAGAAACCAUAGCAGGAAUUUAGUACUGGGAUGUAACUGGAAUGAAACAGAUAACAACCCACCAUUUGACCAGCUAAUAAUCCCAUCUUAAACUACAGUGUCAUAUCAUCUUCAGGAAGGAGUCUGUCAUCUUUAGGGACAGGAGGUUGAGUCUAGUUGAAAGGAAAGUGAGACAAAGAGACUCAGUGAAGGUUGAGAGAGAGAAAGAAAGAAAAAAAGGAGGACUGAGGGAGAUCCAAAAGAGAGAGAGAGCAAGCAGUGCUCGCCGGACCCUGACUGCGUAGCGAGGCCUCAAUUAUUCAUGCGGCAGUGCACAUGUCAAGAGCCCACAGACAAGCACAACAGCAAGGCCGAGCGCAAAUCAAACAGCGCAUCCGUGGGUAAUGCCCACAAUGCACCUGGAGGAAACACACCUCGGCCCAUUUCUCUGUUGUUCUCGUAUAAAACAGAGAACAAGGCUACCUGAGCCCUGCCUGAUUCUCCUCCAGAGCCAGGAGCUGCUGUAACACUCUUUGUUGUUUGUUUUUUUCACCCCCACUUUAUUUACUCGCUUCGUUUUGCUGGCAGAGAUGUUGGUGCCAGUGGGUUCCAUCUUUUCAUGGCUCAUUAGUCCGCUGUUUCGUUCACUUUAUUUCUCUGAACUAGCUAUCAUGCCCUUAGUGUUGUCUAAGUCCACUGCCUCUCUUUGCUGGUCCCCAACAUGUCUACAUUAACUACGGCUGAGGUUUGUCUCCUCAAUUGCUGGAGGUUAACGGAUAGCUCCAGACUUCCAUUCUCAUCUUGUCUUAGUUUAUCGACCACUGCCUCUGCUGUCGACUUUAUUUUUUCUCUCCAUAUUCUCACAAGCAUGCUCCCAAAACUCGUGAAGACUUUUUUCAAUAUUAUUGUUGUGCUGUUCAAGGCUCCAAAAUAACAGGCAGCACAAGAAACUGCAGCUCAUCAUUCAUAAAGCUGCUCCAAGCUGCAGUGGUCUGCAUGUUUACUGUUUAUUGUGUUGUCAUGCUGUUUUAGAAUAACCUCAUGAUAGAGCUAAGUUACAGCUCAUGUUAGUUGUUAUGUCUUUGUUGUUCUACUGUUUAGAGGUCAGAAAACCCGUUCCAACUGAAGAAAUACAUUAACAAUUACCAUGUAAAUAAAAUACGUUUGUGAAAUAUGUCA